AUAUAAAAGCAGUGCCAGACGUUGUCCUUAGUUCAUACUACUGUCCUUCAUUCUCGAUUCGAGUGCUUACAGGGAAGGAUUCAACGAUGAAGUGGAUCGGUCUGACUUUCUUGUUGUUGUCAUCCUUGAUGGUGGCGACAGAAGCGCGACCCCAAGGCAGAUUCCCGCCUCAUUUUCCUCCAAGCGGGCCUUUGAUCCCUCCAUACCCAUGCAACUGCACGUUCCCACCGUGUCCUUGUGAUCCUCCUAGACCCAUCGACUUCAUAAGGGCCAAGCGACGCGUGUAAGGACGACUCCGGAAGGCCAUGCGAGUCUUCAGGAUGGUUUUCCUUGUCGUCCACGUCCUUGGAUUCUCUUAAGUGAUUUUCUUCGUUUUCUUAUUGUCUACGUAAAUUAAUAGGUUUUCAUUUUGUCUGUAAAGGUUAUCAGGCGUUCUAUUCAUGUCUUGUACAAGUUAUUGAGAUUUCCUUAUCGUCAGUGCAAGCUAUCAAGUGUUUUCUUCGUGUAAACAUAACUUAGCAAGGUUCCAUUAGUGCCUGUGCAAAUCAUUGUUUUUUGUUUCUUUACACUAGUUAUCAGGGCUUCCCUAGUGUCUGUACGAAUCAUUAUGUCUUACAUGCUUGUCUGUAUUAGUGCAAGACUUAAAAAGUUCUCCAUUUGAUUCUAUUUGUAGUACUGUAAAAAAUAAAUUGCCAUAAUUGU